rnacentral:rRNA from 1 species
AUUGAACGCUGGCGGCAGGCCUAACACAUGCAAGUCGAACGGUAACAGGAAGCAGCUUGCUGCUUUGCUGACGAGUGGCGGACGGGUGAGUAAUGUCUGGGAAACUGCCUGAUGGAGGGGGAUAACUACUGGAAACGGUAGCUAAUACCGCAUAACGUCGCAAGACCAAAGAGGGGGACCUUAGGGCCUCUUGCCAUCGGAUGUGCCCAGAUGGGAUUAGCUAGUAGGUGGGGUAACGGCUCACCUAGGCGACGAUCCCUAGCUGGUCUGAGAGGAUGACCAGCCACACUGGAACUGAGACACGGUCCAGACUCCUACGGGAGGCAGCAGUGGGGAAUAUUGGACAAUGGGCGCAAGCCUGAUGCAGCCAUGCCGCGUGUAUGAAGAAGGCCUUCGGGUUGUAAAGUACUUUCAGCGGGGAGGAAGGGAGUAAAGUUAAUACCUUUGCUCAUUGACGUUACCCGAAGAAGAAGCACCGGCUAACUCCGUG